rnacentral:rRNA from 1 species
GGGGAAUUGUUCGCAAUGGGCGAAAGCCUGACGACGCAACGCCGCGUGGAGGAUGAAGAAUUUCGGUUCGUAAACUCCUGUCGAGCGGGACGAAAGAUGCGCGGGUUAAUACCCCGCGCAAGUGACGGUACCGCUAAAGGAAGCCCCGGCUAACUCCGUGCCAGCAGCCGCGGUAAUACGGGGGGGGCAAGCGUUGUUCGGAAUUACUGGGCGUAAAGGGCUCGUAGGCGGCCAACUAAGUCACACGUGAAAUCCCUCGGCUCAACCGGGGAACUGCGUGUGAGACUGGAUGGCUUGAGUGUGGGAGAGGAAUGCGGAAUUCCAGGUGUAGCGGUGAAAUGCGUAGAUAUCUGGAGGAACACCGGUGGCGAAGGCGGCAUUCUGGACCAUUACUGACGCUGAGGAGCGAAAGCCAGGGGAGCAA